CGAUGAUGCUCUUUUCAGCCGCACAGAUGCCUAUGGCUGCUGCUGCUGCUACUGCAUGGCCUGCACCGCUUCGGUGAGGCCCCUAACCUACUGAACCAAUAGGUUGAACUGCUCCAUGCUGACUGUCAUUGCCAGAGGAGGAGGAGCCUAAAAAAACUGGAGAUGAGGUCGGAGCUAGCAGAUCUUGCUGAGAUCUGGCCAUGGAGGCCGUAGAUCACC
rnacentral:lncRNA from 1 species